rnacentral:rRNA from 1 species
AGAGCGAACGCUGGCGGCAGGCUUAACACAUGCAAGUCGAGCGGGCGUAGCAAUACGUCAGCGGCAGACGGGUGAGUAACGCGUGGGAACGUACCUUUUGGUUCGGAACAACACAGGGAAACUUGUGCUAAUACCGGAUAAGCCCUUACGGGGAAAGAUUUAUCGCCGAAAGAUCGGCCCGCGUCUGAUUAGCUAGUUGGUGAGGUAACGGCUCACCAAGGCGACGAUCAGUAGCUGGUCUGAGAGGAUGAUCAGCCACAUUGGGACUGAGACACGGCCCAAACUCCUACGGGAGGCAGCAGUGGGGAAUAUUGGACAAUGGGCGAAAGCCUGAUCCAGCCAUGCCGCGUGAGUGAUGAAGGCCCUAGGGUUGUAAAGCUCUUUUGUGCGGGAAGAUAAUGACGGUACCGCAAGAAUAACGCCCGGACUAACUUCGCGCCAGCAGCCGC